rnacentral:rRNA from 1 species
AGAGUUUGAUCAUGGCUCAGGAUGAACGCUGGCGGCGUGCCUAACACAUGCAAGUCGAACGAAGCGAUUUGGAGGAAGUUUUCGGAUGGAAUCCAAAUCGACUGAGUGGCGGACGGGUGAGUAACGCGUGGGUAACCUGCCUCACACUGGGGGACAACAGCUGGAAACGGCUGCUAAUACCGCAUAAGCGCACAGCUUCGCAUGAAGCAGUGUGAAAAACUCCGGUGGUGUGAGAUGGACCCGCGUCUGAUUAGCUAGUUGGUAAGGUAACGGCUUACCAAGGCGACGAUCAGUAGCCGACCUGAGAGGGUGACCGGCCACAUUGGGACUGAGACACGGCCCAAACUCCUACGGGAGGCAGCAGUGGGGAAUAUUGCACAAUGGGGGAAACCCUGAUGCAGCGACGCCGCGUGAGUGAAGAAGUAUUUCGGUAUGUAAAGCUCUAUCAGCAGGGAAGAAAAUGACGGUACCUGACUAAGAAGCCCCGG